ACAAGUUAAACCCAAGUUCUUUCAAACCCACUUGAGCUGCGCGUCAUCAAAGAAGUCAUGGUUAAAGUUUGAACAGUUGAAAACAAAAUUAAUGCUUAUUGAGAAGAAGGUUGAACACUUACUGUGUUUCCACUCGAUUGCAUUGAAAGAACGACUAAAACCUUUCUCCAAUGUGGUCAAUGGGUUUCUGUAAAAUUGUUGUUGAGAAAGGAUAUUCAUGUUUAGAAGAUUGAGACUGAUCAAGAUGAGAAGAUGAAUGAGACCAAUUCUUCUGCAAAUGUACUUAUAAGGGCAAAGAAAUCUGGUGUUGAAGCUCGACAACUCCACAGGGGAAGCCAGACAAUGCCACAUGAUGACCCAUGAAAAGAUAUAUGAUUAUGGAGACCAUGAUCAAGCAAGAGUCUGUUUGAUCUGGUGGGAAUUCCAAUAAAAUGCUCAACGGGCUGCAGAUU